UGUGGGUUUUGAAUGUGAGAAUUGAGUUUCUUCAUCCCAUUCAUGUCCAAACAAGGCUUAUUCAUCAUGUCAAGCAUCAACAUUGAAGAAUUUGAAGUCAAAGCAAAAGUUUCCAAAAUUGGAAAGUGACCUAUAAUUUCAAGUUUCCAAAAAUGGAAAGUUUUUGGUCCAACUUUAACUCAACUUUCCAACAUCAAAGAAGCUCCAAAUGAAUUUUUGUCCAACAUGAAAGUU
rnacentral:lncRNA from 1 species